rnacentral:rRNA from 1 species
GGAGGAUAAGAAACUAAAUAGGAUUCCCUCAGUAAUGGCGAAUGAACAGGGACCAGCUCAGCAUGGAAAUUGGGGCCUCCGGCCUUGAAUUGUAGUCUCGAGAUGUACAGCCAACGGAGGCGCAGAUGUAAGCCUCUUGGAAAAGAGCAUCAACGAGGGUGAGAGUCCCGUUUGUCAUCUGCAGUCCCCCGUGCACGGCGUAUCUUCUAAGAGUCGCGUUCCUCGGAAUUGGAGCGUAAAGUGGGUGGUAAAUUUCAUCUCAAGCUAAAUAUUGGUUCGAGACCGAUAGCAAACAAGUACCAUGAGGGAAAGGUGAAAAGGACUUUGAAAAGAGAGUUAAAAGUGCCUGAAAUUGCUGAAAGGGAAGCGAAUGGAACCAGUGUUGCUUGGCGAGAUUGUCGUGCGCUAAGGUAUCCCCGGACGCGCAUGCUGUUUCUUGCCUUGUGUGUCAACGCCUGUUCGCGAUCGAGGAAAACUCCAGGGACAUGGUAGCUUGCCCCCGGGCGGGUGAAUGUGCCUGGUAGAACUCAUUUGCGAACUGAUCCCAUCGUGUCUGGUUGCAGCGCGUUGCGUCUCCGCGACGACCUCGGCCGGGGAGCUCGCUCCCGGCGCCGGGGGGCUCGGGUGACCAGGGCGCUUCCCUGACGCAUAGACGAUGACUAAAUGGUUCUAUUCGACCCGUCUUGAAACACGGACCAAGGAGUCUAACAUAUGUGCGAGUCCACGGGUGGGUAAACCUGCCGGCGCAGUGAAAGCGACUGCUGGGAUCUUUGCACCAGCAACCGACCAAUCAAUCGAGAGAGGUUUGAGUAUGAGCAUAUCUGUUAGGACCCGAAAGAUGGUGAACUAUGCCUGAGAAGGGCAAACUCAGGGGAAACUCUGAUGGAGGCUCGUAGCGAUACUGACGUGCAAAUCGUUCGUCAUACUUGGGUA